CUCUUGAACCAGACCAUAACUAUCUACCUCUUCAUCUCUUUUUCUUUCACCGUACAAAUCCUUUUAAGCCUUCUUGACAUUAUAUUGAAGCCUCUUCAUUUUCCCUCCUUCUCGCCAUCCUCACUAUAUAGACGACGGCUACACUCAAAAUCCAAUGUUUCUUCACAGACGAUGACAAUUUUCAGAACACAAAUUCCCGCCAUGGCCUCCAAUAUUGGUUACGUUGUUGCUCCUCCAUUGCCGAAAGAGAUUUCCGAGGUGAGCACUGUUUGGAUGUGUUAAGCAAACUUUGAUAUCAAAGACACAAAUCUCAGGCUCAAAUAGUGUAUCUGGUUCGCAGUGGAGGCCUGGGAAUCCCUUUCAGAGUCAGAAUGAAACGGUCCGUGGAAGAGCUAAAAUAGCAAAAUAACUCUUUAGUUAUGGUGGAUAUUCAGGGGAAUUGGUUUGCAUAAACUGGCCAAGUUUGAGAAUGAGCAGCAAGAACUUCUACGGUUCCCACAAACACUUUUCGACACAAAGAUGCCAGCUGGUCAUACAGUUUUGCAACCUUUCGCAGAUGACUUCUCGAAUUAAAAGAUAUAAGUUGAGGAACUGUUCUUUGUUCUACGUAUUGUUGAGAGGACUCAGUGUUGGAAUGUGAGUCAAUUAUUCUUGCGCAGAACAGUGGAGAUCAAUGGCUGGUAUAGAUCUACUUUGCAUCUGGAAGAUUGACAAGAGUAAUUAAGACAAACGUAUAUGGUUCACGGGCUAAAAGUUGUGAGAAAAUCGGAGCACAAGUGAGCCAGAAGCUGAUUGUGGUCCAUGGAAUCAUCUUGCUAUCUUUAACAGCUGCAAAUACAUAUGAUCCACAGACCCUACAAAUGGAGUCAGAAGCUAGGGGACGCAGCUUAGUGUUUAGUUUAUAUGGUGGGAUAUAUCUAUUUCAAUCUGAUUCAAAUGUAUUACGGUUUGUGUGAUGAAUUACAAAAUAGGAUUUGGAACGAAGCCAAAGUUUAUCCGUGAGAGACGUCUCAAGUCAGCCAACUCAACCAACCAAAUCCAGUUUCACACACACUGCUAGAUCAAUACAAACCACCUGCUCAGGGAUCAGGAACCAACAUAUGGGAGAAUUUUCACACCGUGUACGCAAGCAGGCUCUCCGGAUGUAGUGAAGCAGAUCACUCCCAUCACCAUUGGUGUUGGGCCCAGGUUAUAUUGCUGAUUCUAUUGCAUGUUGAUUAACUUAUAAAUUGUCUCUGAAUUUUAAUGACUUUAUGUUUGUUUUUGUUGCAUGGUUCAGAUUUCGUCUUAGCUUCCUAAAUAAAUAUUUCUUUUCUAUUGACCAAUGAGUGGAACUAAAAGUUAUUUACCAGAAUAUGAAAUAUACAUUAAAAAAAAAAUUAACAGGAGGAUUUGCCAACGCAAAUAAAAUAAAAAAUACAAAGAUUCAUUAAAAUGAAAUUCCAGUUGAACUUAGAUUUGAGGAUAUAGUAGAAAACAGUACAAUAAUAAGUAAACUAAAAUUGUUCAUAAAGUGAUAUUAAUUAGAAAAAAAUCAUUUUAGAAGAGUAGCUUCGUGUACCAUAUA